GGGGACGUUUAGGAUUCGACAGGGAUAGGUCGUGCUUAUGUUGCGAGUCGAGGGGGUCGGCCUCGUUAAAACGCCAAAGCCUAUAACUGGCAAAGAAAACAACAACUUCGCAGUAGCUGCCUAAUAGCACUCUGCGGUUCCACCCUCCAUCGCCCAUGUGGUAGGUACUGGAACUCACUCUAAGUGGGCUACGCCGGUUGCUCUCCGUCUGUGAGCGAAGGAAGAGAUUGAUCAGACUAGCCGUUCGGACGCCUGUUACUGGGCAGAAGAAUUGGCGAAAUGCUAAUUCAGUAACUACACUCGUAGAAGCAUAAGUGUCGUUGUUUCUGGACGUGGGUUCGAUUCCCACCGUCUCCACCA
rfam:Bacillus sp. LL01 scaffold49.1, whole genome shotgun sequence.